GAAGAAUUUUGGGAUUUUAGCCACAACGGCUCCGCCGAACUUUACCCGCAGUUUCUGACUCACCCACUGUCCCUCUUACUCCGAUUUGGCCACAAAGAUACUCGAAAUCAAAUUCUGAGAGGGUAGGGAUAACUUUUACAUUUUUUGGCGGUUGGCAGUGGUUCUGGUGUGACGGUGGUUAGCGAACGGCCUCAUUCUCUGAUGUCUGGUUCUUCUUCUCCAGUGGGGGCUGACGGCUAUGGUUUAGGUUCUUGUAUGAUGAGAAGUAUUUAUAACCAUCCCGCGUUGAUAUGGACCGUCCAUCGCAAUUGAUCUCGUCUGUCCGAUCGUGCCUAAUGAGGAAAUGGAUUUGGAUCGUUCAUCAU
rnacentral:lncRNA from 1 species